AAGAAGUCAGGCCGGAUUAAGCCAUAGCACGGAAAGAGCUAUGCUGCCUGUGAGCCCCGUCCAAGGACGUAAAACGAAGUCAGGCCGAAAGCCACGGCUUGAGCAAACCGUGCUGCCUGUGGCUCCAUCGUGGGGAUGUAAAAACCCGGGAGGCUGCAACCCAUGGAAGCUGUACGCAUGGGGUAGCAGACUAGCGGUUAGAGGAGACCCCUCCCAAG
rnacentral:lncRNA from 1 species